UACGUAGGGUGCAAGCGUUGUCCGGAAUCAUUGGGCGUAAAGAGCGUGUAGGUGGCUCGGUAAGUCCGCUGUGAAAGUCCAGGGCUCAACCCUGGAAAGCCGGUGGAAACUGUCGAGCUCGAGUCCGGAAGAGGCGAGUGGAAUUCCCGGUGUAGCGGUGAAAUGCGCAGAUAUCGGGAAGAACACCCGUGGCGAAGGCGGCUCUCUGGGACGGUACUGACGCUGAGACGCGAAAGCGUGGGGAGCGAACAGG
rnacentral:rRNA from 1 species